AAACUUUCAACAACGGAUCUCUUGGCUCUCGCAUCGAUGAAGAACGCAGCGAAAUGCGAUAAGUAAUGUGAAUUGCAGAAUUCAGUGAAUCAUCGAAUCUUUGAACGCACCUUGCGCCCUCUGGUAUUCCGGAGAGCAUGCCUGUUUGAGUGUCAUGU
rnacentral:rRNA from 1 species